rnacentral:rRNA from 1 species
GAUGAACGCUGGCGGCGUGCUUAACACAUGCAAGUCGAGCGGAGACAUCGUUUUCGGAUGAUGUCUUAGUGGCGGACGGGUGAGUAACGCGUGAGGAACCUGCCUCUCAGUGGGGAAUAACGGUCGGAAACGACCGCUAAUACCGCAUAACGCAUUUGGAUCGCAUGGUCUGAAUGCCAAAGAUUUUAUCGCUGAGAGAUGGCCUCGCGUCUGAUUAGCUAGUUGGUAGGGUAACGGCCUACCAAGGCGACGAUCAGUAGCCGGACUGAGAGGUUGGCCGGCCACAUUGGGACUGAGACACGGCCCAG